UGGUGGUGCAUGGCCGUUCUUAGUUGGUGGAGCGAUUUGUCUGGUUAAUUCCGAUAACGAACGAGACUCUAGCCUGCUAAAUAGCUUUAAUGCCUUUUCGGAUUGAGGUGUAGCUUUGCUUUAGUAAAGUCUUCAUUGCAACCGUUCAAGUGAGGCAUUAACGCUUCUUAGAGGGACUGGUGUGCGGUAAAUAUUUGUAGGCACACGAAAUAGAGCAAUAACAGGUCUGUGAUGCCCUUAGAUGUCCGGGGCUGCACGCGCGCUACACUGAAGGAGUCAUCGGGUAUACUUACUUUUUCCGAGAGGAAUGAGAAAUCCGUUUAACUUCCUUCGUGAUGGGGAUUGUGCGAUGUAACUACGCACAUGAACGAGGAAUUCCUUGUAAGCGCGAGUCAUUAGCUCGUGUUGAAUACGUCCCUGCCCUUUGUACACACCGCCCGUCGCUACUACUGAUUGAAUGGUUUAGUGAGGUCAUUGGAUCGGAUAGUCUUUCUUCGCAAGUUGAUUGACAGUCUGAGUAAAAUGAUCGAACUUGACCCUUUAGAGGAAGUAAAAGUCGUAACAAGGUUUCCGUAGGUGAACCUGCGGAAGGAUCAUAA
rnacentral:ncRNA from 1 species